AAAUUAAUAAAAAUUAUAUUAUAAAACACUUAAAUUAAUAAAAAUAAAAAUAUUAGUUUUCGCCAACAAUUAUCUUCCAUCUCUGAUGAACUAACCCUCAAUCUCACAAACCCUCAAUCUCCUUAAACUCUCUUCAGUUCCCAACUUGUCAAUUUUGACACAAAUCCACAAUCUAAACCAACUCUUUUCUCACCUUUUCAUCAUUUCACACUUCUAUCUCAUUCCUUUCCUCUUCAAUUUCUCUUCACUUCCAACUCCUUCCGUUUCCAAUCCCCAACUUUCAGUUUCUAGGGUUUUACUUCUCUAUUCUCAAUUUCUAGGGUUUUAACCCGAUCCAAUGGAACCUCGUAUUGGUAACAAGUUCCUUCUUGGCUGCAAAAUUGGUAGCGGAUCCUUCGGCGAGAUCUAUCUCGGUACAAAUGUUCAGACAAAUGAAGAAGUUGCAAUUAAGCUUGUUUGGCGAAAGAGAAGAUUGGUGGAUUUAGAAAUUGUCACCACAUAUGAAACGAAGAACCCUAAAAUCAAAGGAAUUGGAAAUUGAUAGUCACAGAAACUUCUCUCAACUCGCUAAUUCUCUCUGCCGUUCAGUCAUCAUUUCACUGCCGUUGACUCCUCCUUCAAUUGGAUGCUGAUAUUGCUUGUCCUAGUAUCGUGUCGGUGCAUAAAUUCGAUGUUAAGAAGGAGUAUGAGAUGAUUCAGAACUAUAAGAUUCUUCACUAUCAUGCUACAAAUCUUUAAGUCUUUUGUUUUGUUCUUCAAAAUACAGGUUUUGCCACAUUCCCCCCAUUCUUUUCAAUUGUUGCUCAAAUUAGAUGGACCGAUCUCUUGAAGAGAAAAUUUCACAAUUGGACAGACAUCUGGAACAUUUGAGUGAAUUGACAGUGCUUUUGGGGUUUGUAAUGAUAUUAGUGUCAUAUCGAUUUACAGGAACAACAUCUGGAACAUUUGAGUCAAUUGACACAAAAUGAAGACAGUCGAAAAAGAUGAUGAAAUUAAGUUGCACAUCAUUGCCACUAUUUCAGCACUUGUACCAAAAUAUCUUGCUAAUGCUAGAUUGGUAUAAUUGAAUCUUUUAGCAUCUAUAUAUGGUUUUUUUUACAAUUGAUGCAAUCAUUUACAUAGGUCGUAGGUAGGUGAAUUUCUAUUAAACCGGUGUAUUUAAAUUUUUUCUAGAUUCAUAGGCAUAUUGGUCCAAGGAUGGAGUAUGAGUUAUACUAAUGACAUUAUUUUGUCGCAUUUCUAAGUUAUUAAUUGUAUAAAUACAAUUGUGUUCUUGCCUUUGACUUUUUAUCGUUGGUUUUGAUGACUUUAAUGAGUAUAUUGGUAGAGAUUUUAUGGUUGCGAGA